GAUGAACGCUGGCGGCGUGCCUAAUACAUGCAAGUCGAGCGAACAGACGAGGAGCUUACUCCUCUGACGUUAGCGGCGGACGGGUGGGUAACACGUGGAUAACCUACCUAUAAGACUGGGAUAACUUCGGGAAACCGGAGCUAAUACCGGAUAACAUGUUGAACCGCAUGGUUCAACAGUGAAAGACGGUCUUGCUGUCACUUAUAGAUGGAUCCGCGUCGCAUUAGCUAGUUGGUAAGGUAACGGCUUACCAAGGCAACGAUGCGUAGCCGACCUGAGAGGGUGAUCGGCCACACUGGAACUGAGACACGGUCCAGACUCCUACGGGAGGCAGCAGUAGGGAAUCUUCCGCAAUGGGCGAAAGCCUGACGGAGCAACGCCGCGUGAGCGAAGAAGGUCUUCGGAUCGUAAAACUCUGUUAUUAGGGAAGAACAAAUGUGUAAGUAACUAUGCACGUCUUGACGGUACCUAAUCAGAAAGCCACGGCUAACUACGUG
rnacentral:rRNA from 1 species